rnacentral:rRNA from 1 species
UUAAGCGACUAAGCGUACACGGUGGAUGCCCUGGCAGUCAGAGGCGAUGAAGGACGUGCUAAUCUGCGAAAAGCGUCGGUAAGGUGAUAUGAACCGUUAUAACCGGCGAUGUCCGAAUGGGGAAACCCAGUGCAAUUCGUUGCACUAUCGUUAACUGAAUACAUAGGUUAACGAGGCGAACCGGGGGAACUGAAACAUCUAAGUACCCCGAGGAAAAGAAAUCAACCGAGAUUCCCCCAGUAGCGGCGAGCGAACGGGGAGCAGCCCAGAGUCUGAAUCAGCUUGUGUGUUAGUGGAACGGUCUGGAAAGUCCGACGGUACAGGGUGAUAGUCCCGUACACCAAAAUGCACAGGCUGUGAACUCGAAGAGUAGGGCGGGACACGUGGUAUCCUGUCUGAAUAUGGGGGGACCAUCCUCCAAGGCUAAAUACUCCUGACUGACCGAUAGUGAACCAGUACCGUGAGGGAAAGGCGAAAAGAACCCCGGCGAGGGGAGUGAAAAAGAACCUGAAACCGUGUACGUACAAGCAGUGGGAGCACCUUCGGGUGUGACUGCGUACCUUUUGUAUAAUGGGUCAGCGACUUAUAUUCUGUAGCAAGGUUAACCGUAUAGGGGAGCCGCAGGGAAACCGAGUCUUAACUGGGCGUUAAGUUGCAGGGUAUAGACCCGAAACCCGGUGAUCUAGCCAUGGGCAGGUUGAAGGUUGGGUAACACUAACUGGAGGACCGAACCGACUAAUGUUGAAAAAUUAGCGGAUGACUUGUGGCUGGGGGUGAAAGGCCAAUCAAACCGGGAGAUAGCUGGUUCUCCCCGAAAGCUAUUUAGGUAGCGCCUCGUGAAUUCAUCUUCGGGGGUAGAGCACUGUUUCGGCUAGGGGGUCAUCCCGACUUACCAACCCGAUGCAAACUACGAAUACCGAAGAAUGUUAUCACGGGAGACACACGGCGGGUGCUAACGUCCGUCGUGAAGAGGGAAACAACCCAGACCGCCAGCUAAGGUCCCAAAGUCAUGGUUAAGUGGGAAACGAUGUGGGAAGGCACAGACAGCCAGGAUGUUGGCUUAGAAGCAGCCAUCAUUUAAAGAAAGCGUAAUAGCUCACUGGUCGAGUCGGCCUGCGCGGAAGAUGUAACGGGGCUAAACCAUGCACCGAAGCUGCGGCAGCGACACUAUGUGUUGUUGGGUAGGGGAGCGUUCUGUAAGCCUGCGAAGGUGACCUGUGAGGGUUGCUGGAGGUAUCAGAAGUGCGAAUGCUGACAUAAGUAACGAUAAAGCGGGUGAAAAGCCCGCUCGCCGGAAGACCAAGGGUUCCUGUCCAACGUUAAUCGGGGCAGGGUGAGUCGACCCCUAAGGCGAGGCCGAAAGGCGUAGUCGAUGGGAAACAGGUUAAUAUUCCUGUACUUGGUGUUACUGCGAAGGGGGGACGGAGAAGGCUAUGUUAGCCGGGCGACGGUUGUCCCGGUUUAAGCAUGUAGGCUGGUUGUCCAGGCAAAUCCGGAUAAUCAAGGCUGAGGUGUGAUGACGAGGCACUACGGUGCUGAAGUAACAAAUGCCCUGCUUCCAGGAAAAGCCUCUAAGCAUCAGGUAACAUUAAAUCGUACCCCAAACCGACACAGGUGGUCAGGUAGAGAAUACCAAGGCGCUUGAGAGAACUCGGGUGAAGGAACUAGGCAAAAUGGUGCCGUAACUUCGGGAGAAGGCACGCUGGUGUGUAGGUGAAGUCCCUGCGGAUGGAGCUGAGACCAGUCGAAGAUACCAGCUGGCUGCAACUGUUUAUUAAAAACACAGCACUGUGCAAACACGAAAGUGGACGUAUACGGUGUGACGCCUGCCCGGUGCCGGAAGGUUAAUUGAUGGGGUUAUCCGUAAGGAGAAGCUCUUGAUCGAAGCCCCGGUAAACGGCGGCCGUAACUAUAACGGUCCUAAGGUAGCGAAAUUCCUUGUCGGGU